UACGUAGGGAGCAAGCGUUGUCCGGAAUCAUUGGGCGUAAAGCGCGCGUAGGUGGCCUCGUAAGUCCGCUGUGAAAGUCAAAGGCUCAACCUUUGAAAGCCGGUGGAUACUGCGGGGCUAGAGUACGGAAGAGGCGAGUGGAAUUCCUGGUGUAGCGGUGGAAUGCGCAGAUAUCAGGAGGAACACCAAUAGCGAAGGCAGCUCGCUGGGACGUGACUGACACUGAGGCGCGAAAGUGUGGGGAGCGAACAGG
rnacentral:rRNA from 1 species